GAUGAACGCUAGCGGCAGGCUUAACACAUGCAAGUCGAGGGGUAACAUAGAAAAGCUUGCUUUUCUGAUGACGACCGGCGCACGGGUGCGUAACGCGUAUACAACCUACCUUUUAGCGGGGAAUAGCCCAGGGAAACUUGGAUUAAUGCCCCAUAGUAUAUAGACUUCUCCUGAAGCUUAUAUUAAACAUUUAUGGCUAUUAGAUGGGUAUGCGUCCUAUUAGUUAGUUGGUAAGGUAACGGCUUACCAAGGCGGCGAUAGGUAGGGGUCCUGAGAGGGAGAUCCCCACACUGGUACUGAGACACGGACCAGACUCCUACGGGAGGCAGCAGUGAGGAAUAUUGGACAAUGGGCGAGAGCCUGAUCCAGCCAUGCCGCGUGCAGGAAGACUGCCCUAUGGGUUGUAAACUGCUUUUUACAGAGGAAGAACCACCCCCACGUGUGGGGGUUUGACGGUACUCUGCGAAUAAGGAUCGGCUAACUCCGUG
rnacentral:rRNA from 1 species